rnacentral:rRNA from 1 species
ACGGCCCACCAAGGCGACGAUGUCUAGGGGCUCUGAGAGGAGAAUCCCCCACACUGGUACUGAGACACGGACCAGACUCCUACGGGAGGCAGCAGUAAGGAAUAUUGGUCAAUGGGGGCAACCCUGAACCAGCCAUGCCGCGUGCAGGACGACUGCCCUAUGGGUUGUAAACUGCUUUUGUUAGGGAAUAAACCCCACUACGUGUAGUGGGCUGAAUGUACCUAAAGAAUAAGGAUCGGCUAACUCCGUGCCAGCAGCCGCGGUAAUACGGAGGAUCCGAGCGUUAUCCGGAUUUAUUGGGUUUAAAGGGUGCGUAGGCGGCACUUUAAGUCAGGGGUGAAAGACGGCAGCUCAACUGUCGCAGUGCCCUUGAUACUGAAGUGCUUGAAUGCGGUUGAAGACGGCGGAAUGAGACAAGUAGCGGUGAAAUGCAUAGAUAUGUCUCAGAACACCGAUUGCGAAGGCAGCUGUCUAAGCCGUUAUUGACGCUGAUGCACGAAAGCGUGGGGAUCGAACAGGAUUAGAUACCCUGGUAGUCCACGCCCUAAACGAUGAUGACUCGAUGUUUGCGAUAUACCGUAAGCGUCCAAGCGAAAGCGUUAAGUCAUCCAC